UACGGGGGGAGCAAGCGUUGUUCGGAUUUACUGGGCGUAAGGGCGCGUAGGCGGCCAGCGCAAGUCAGUUGUGAAAUCUCCGGGCUUAACUCGGAAAGGUCAACUGAUACUGCGCGGCUAGAGUGCAGAAGGGGCAACUGGAAUUCUCGGUGUAGCGGUGAAAUGCGUAGAUAUCGAGAGGAACACCUGCGGCGAAGGCGGGUUGCUGGGCUGACACUGACGCUGAUGCGCGAAAGCCAGGGGAGCGAACGGG
rnacentral:rRNA from 1 species